CAAUAGCGUAUACUAAAGUUGUUGCAGUUAAAAAGCUCGUAGUUGAAUUUCUGGUCGUGAAACGUGGUCCGUUCCGCAAGGAAUGUGUACUGUCGAUUUAUGUCCAUCCUCGGUGUUAGUAUGCAUUACUUUAAUCGGUCGUGUAUACAACCACCGUCAUUUACUGUGAGCAAAAUAGAGUGUUCAAAGCAGGCUUAUGCCGUUGAAUAUAUUAGCAUGGAAUAAUAAGAUAUGACUUUGGUCUAUUUUGUUGGUUUGCACUCCAAAGUAAUGAUUAAUAGGGAUAGUUGGGGGUAUUCGUAUUCAAUUGUCAGAGGUGAAAUUCUUGGAUUUAUGGAAGACGAACUACUGCGAAAGCAUUUACCAAGGAUGUUUUCAUUAAUCAAGAACGAAAGUUAGGGGAUCGAAGACGAUCAGAUACCAU
rnacentral:rRNA from 1 species